GCCUCGAUAGUCUAGUGGUUAUGAUUUUGCACUUGUACGCGCUUACGUAAAGUCAAAGGUUUUCCUUCAAAUGCAAGGGUCGGGCGUUCAAAUCGCCCUCGAGGCA